rnacentral:rRNA from 1 species
CAGUCGCCGCGGGAAUACGAAGGGGGCUAGCGUUGUUCGGAUUUACUGGGCGUAAAGCGCACGUAGGCGGACUUUUAAGUCAGGGGUGAAAUCCCGGGGCUCAACCCCGGAACUGCCUUUGAUACUGGAAGUCUUGAGUAUGGUAGAGGUGAGUGGAAUUCCGAGUGUAGAGGUGAAAUUCGUAGAUAUUCGGAGGAACACCAGUGGCGAAGGCGGCUCACUGGACCAUUACUGACGCUGAGGUGCGAAAGCGUGGGGAGCAAACAGGAUUAGAUACCCCGGUAGUCCCUGUCUCUUAUAA